rnacentral:rRNA from 1 species
GCAGCCGCCGCGGGAAAACGUAGGUGGCAAGCGUUGUCCGGAAUUAUUGGGCGUAAAGGGCUCGCAGGCGGUUUCUUAAGUCUGAUGUGAAAGCCCCCGGCUCAACCGGGGAGGGUCAUUGGAAACUGGGAAACUUGAGUGCAGAAGAGGAGAGUGGAAUUCCACGUGUAGCGGUGAAAUGCGUAGAGAUGUGGAGGAACACCAGUGGCGAAGGCGACUCUCUGGUCUGUAACUGACGCUGAGGAGCGAAAGCGUGGGGAGCGAACAGGAUUAGAUACCCCAGUAGUCCCUGUCUCUUAUAC